AACGAACGCUGGCGGCAGGCCUAACACAUGCAAGUCGAACGCGCGUAGCAAUACGCGAGUGGCGCACGGGUGAGUAACACGUGGGAAUCAACCCUGAGGUUCGGAAUAACCGCGGGAAACUGCGGCUAAUACCCGGAUGUCCCCUAUGGGGGAAAGAUUUUAUCGCCUUGGGACGAGCCCGCGUCCGAUUAGCUAGUUGGUGAGGUAACGGCUCACCAAGGCUACGAUCGGUAGCUGGUCGAGAGGAUGACCAGCCACACUGGAACCUGAGAUACGGUCCAGACUCCUACGGGAGGCAGCAGUGGGGAAUAUUGGGCAAUGGAGGCAACUCUGACCCAGCCAUGCCGCGUGGGUGACGAAGGUCUUCGGAUUGUAAAGCCCUUUCGGCGG
rnacentral:rRNA from 1 species